GACGAACGCUGGCGGCGUGCUUAACACAUGCAAGUCGAGCGGUAAGGCCCUUUCGGGGGUACGACGAGCGGCGAACGGGUGAGUAACGCGUGGGAAUCUCCCCACGAGGUACGGAACAACUCAGGGAAACUUGAGCUAAUACCGUAUGUGCCCGAGAGGGCAAAGAUUCAUCGCCUUUGGAUGAGCCCGCGUUGGAUUAGCUAGUUGGUGGGGUAACGGCCUACCAAGGCUACGAUCCAUAGCUGAUCUGAGAGGAUGAUCAGCCACACUGGGAC
rnacentral:rRNA from 1 species